rnacentral:rRNA from 1 species
CCCAGACUCCUACGGGAGGCAGCAGUGGGGGAUAUUGCACAAUGGGGGGAACCCUGAUGCAGCGACGCCGCGUGGGUGAAGGAGCGUUUCGGCGCGUAAAGCCCUAUCGGCAGGGAAGAAGGAGGACGGUACCUGACUAAGAAGCCUCGGCUAACUACGUGCCAGCAGCCGCGGUAAUACGUAGGGGGCAAGCGUUAUCCGGAUUUACUGGGUGUAAAGGGGGCGCAGACGGCAGCGCAAGCCAGGAGUGAAAGCCCGGGGCCCAACCCCGGGACUGCUCUUGGAACUGCGCGGCUGGAGUGCAGGAGGGGCAGGCGGAAUUCCUGGUGUAGCGGUGAAAUGCGUAGAUAUCAGGAGGAACACCGGUGGCGAAGGCGGCCUGCUGGACUGCGACUGACGUUGAGGCCCGAAAGCGUGGGGAGCAAACAGGAUUAGAUACCCCUGUAC